rnacentral:rRNA from 1 species
AUUGAACGCUGGCGGCAUGCUUUACACAUGCAAGUCGAACGCCCCGCAAGGGGAGUGGCAGACGGGUGAGUAACGCGUGGGAAUCUACCCAGUUCUACGGAACAACACAGGGAAACUUGUGCUAAUACCGUAUACGCCCUACGGGGGAAAGAUUUAUCGGAAUUGGAUGAGCCCGCGUUGGAUUAGCUAGUUGGUGGGGUAAUGGCCUACCAAGGCGACGAUCCAUAGCUGGUCUGAGAGGAUGAUCAGCCACACUGGGACUGAGACACGGCCCAGACUCCUACGGGAGGCAGCAGUGGGGAAUAUUGGACAAUGGGCGCAAGCCUGAUCCAGCCAUGCCGCGUGAGUGAUGAAGGCCUUAGGGUUGUAAAGCUCUUUCAGUGGGGACGAUAAUGACGGUACCCACAGAAGAAGCCCCGGCUAACUUCGUGCCAGCAGCCGCCGUAAUAC